rnacentral:rRNA from 1 species
AUACGGAGGGUGCGAGCGUUAAUCGGAAUUACUGGGCGUAAAGCGUACGUAGGCGGUUAUUUAAGUCAGAUGUGAAAGCCCUGGGCUUAACCUGGGAACGGCAUUUGAUACUGGGUAACUAGAGUUUGAUAGAGGAGAGUGGAAUUUCAGGUGUAGCGGUGAAAUGCGUAGAGAUCUGAAGGAACAUCAGUGGCGAAGGCGGCUCUCUGGAUUAAAACUGACGCUGAGGUACGAAAGCGUGGGUAGCAAACAGGAUUAGAUACCCCGGUAGUCC